rnacentral:rRNA from 1 species
AACGAACGCUGGCGGCAUGCCUAACACAUGCAAGUCGAACGAGACCUUCGGGUCUAGUGGCGCACGGGUGCGUAACGCGUGGGAACCUGCCCUUAGGUUCGGAAUAACUCCCCGAAAGGGGUGCUAAUGCCGGAUAAUGUCUUCGGACCAAAGAUUUAUCGCCUUUGGAUGGGCCCGCGUUGGAUUAGCUAGUUGGUAGGGUAAAAGCCUACCAAGGCGACGAUCCAUAGCUGGUCUGAGAGGAUGAUCAGCCACACUGGGACUGAGACACGGCCCAGACUCCUACGGGAGGCAGCAGUGGGGAAUAUUGGACAAUGGGCGAAAGCCUGAUCCAGCAAUGCCGCGUGAGUGAUGAAGGCCUUAGGGUUGUAAAGCCCUUUUACCCGGGAUGAUAAUGACAGUACCGGGAGAAUAAGCUCCGGCUAACUCCGUG